AAGACACCUCGUCUGGGACGCGUUGCAUCUCAAUGCGCUUAGGGAGUUGGUUUACCAAGGUGGUCUGCUACGCGAGGGCGCUAGUCAAAUUGGCGACUUGCUAGGGCAGGUGGUGCUUGUUAAUUAGAUUGGAAGAGUUUGGAUAAUUAGCGUCUCCAUGUGUGGUGGAAGUGUAGUGGAAUUAAGGUACAAAGCUUGAGCCCAUAGCAGGCAUUCUUGAAUAAAAGUGAGGUGAAAAUAACCUUAGGUCGAUUGUUGGA
rnacentral:lncRNA from 1 species